UGAGGGGGGCUGCUCCUAGUACGAGAGGACCGGAGUGGACGCAUCACUGGUGUUCGGGUUGUCAUGCCAAUGGCACUACCCGGUAGCUAAAUGCGGACGAGAUAAGUGCUGAAAGCAUCUAAGCACGAAACUUGCCCCGAGAUGAGUUCUCCCUGACUCCUUGAGAGUCCUGAAGGAACGUUGAAGACGACGACGUUGAUAGGCCGGGUGUGUAAGCGCAGCGAUGCGUUGAGCUAACCGGUACUAAUGAACCGUGAGGCUUAACCUUACAACGCCGAAG
rnacentral:rRNA from 1 species